UACGAAGGGGGCUAGCGUUGUUCGGAAUCACUGGGCGUAAAGGGCGCGUAGGCGGCUUUAUAAGUCGGGGGUGAAAGCCUGUGGCUCAACCACAGAAUUGCCUUCGAUACUGUAGAGCUUGAGACCGGAAGAGGUAAGUGGAACUGCGAGUGUAGAGGUGAAAUUCGUAGAUAUUCGCAAGAACACCAGUGGCGAAGGCGGCUCACUGGCCCGGUACGUGACGCUGAGGUGCGAAAGCGUGGG
rnacentral:rRNA from 1 species